UCCAACCCUCUCCAUCUAGGAAGCCUCCCUUCUCUUCCCCAGGCACAGCCACCAUCCCCAGCAUGGCGGAGGCCGAGGGCGGCGCCCCACCCUAGCCCUCGGAGCAGUGGAGGCCUGCUGUUGUGCGCCUGCGCAUCCGCACGCCCAUGCACGAGGUCGCUACAUCGAAACCCUAGGCGAGAGCCAAUGGAAGUGCAGCAGCAACACACGCAGCUGGAUCUGAGUGGGACGACCAUGGGGUUUCUGGUGACAGUGGUGGCUCUGUUCUAAUUUUGCCUUGCCUAGCCCCUGCGUCUUCCUCUUGGCCAUCAGCUCCCAGGUGCACCAUAGGAGAGGGAAUGGAAAAGGCCUUGGUGCUGGAUGUUAGGUGCGCUCAUGGCAAUGGUGUGGAUAUAUUGCUAUUGGGCACAAGCACUUUCCUCCAUCUAAUCUGGCACCUAAAAGAUUAGGAAGAGUUGAGGUUACAUGGGACAGAUUUUCAGCAAAGAAGUUUUAUAUAGAAAUGGUAAGGGAACUCAACCAGGCCAUGCUGUGGAUUUAUCCAACUAUUUGCGUCAUGUUUGCAGCUUGUAUUUGCCUUUGCACUUUUAUCUUUAACACAUAUGCUAAGGGAAUAUUCAUUAAACAAUUUAACUCAGCCAGAUUUAAAAGAGAGUAUGUCAUCUCAUAUCAUAUAUGCUCCUUAACUACACUGCUCACUGCACUUAUCUUUAUGACAGUGCUUUUGAUUCUGCACAUUAUUCAGAGAGCAGCAGCAACAUGAAGACAAGCAGUUCAAUCUAGCAAGUGGUGAAGCUGUUGUUCAGCAUCACUGACAUGAGAAAAUUUGACAAGUGCACAGAAAGACCAUCCAUGCUUUCAGGAUUGUGGCUUCAGUUUUCAGGAAGGGAAUCAGUGGAUAAACAAUAUUGGAGAAAUACUUGACGAAGGAGCAUCAUUCCACUGAGGCAGCUGCAUUGCUUAUUUGCUUAUUUGCGGCAUGGAGAGACAAUUGUUGGCUGUAUGAAUUAGUCUUGUUUUUAAAUUGCUUCAUCAUCAAUGUGUAAAUAUUUAUAUAUAUAUAUAAACAUAUUUGACCAAAUGGUUGUAAAUCUAUAACUAGAAAUGCAAUAAAGAAUUGACACCAUAUUUGUCA